rnacentral:misc_RNA from 1 species
GCAAACUUGGUCAUUUAGAGGAAGUAAAAGUCGUAACAAGGUUUCCGUAGGUGAACCUGCGGAAGGAUCAUUACUGAGUGCGGACCCCUCGCGGGUCCAACCUCCCACCCGUGUCUCUUGAAUACCCUGUUGCUUUGGCGGGCCCACCGGGUCGCCCCGGUCGCCGGGGGGCACUGCGCCCCCGGGCCCGCGCCCGCCAGAGCGCCCUAUGAACCCUCAUGAAGAUGGACUGUCUGAGUGUGAUUUGAAUUAUCAAAACUUUCAACAAUGGAUCUCUUGGUUCCGGCAUCGAUGAAGAACGCAGC